AGCAUAAGCUGAGCUCCUGUGGUGAGCUCCUGUGGUCAGCAUGUGCAGAGGGGCUGGAUGUUUGCUGUAUCCGGUGCUACCAGCUCUCCUUCUCCAGUCUGUCAUGUCAUGUCUCCUCUCCAUGUUGGUGAGGACCUGUAGGGAUUGGGAGGGAGGGAACCUUGCUGCUUGCUGAGGGUGAGCUUGCUGCUUGUGGGCAAGUUGCUGAGGGAUGGGGGUGGAAAAGCUUCUUCUCACUUAGACUAUCAGCAAAAUGCAUUCUUCCUCUGGAUCUGUACUCCCUGAGAUGAUCAGGAUGUUGUGAAAGACGUCAUAGAGACACAAACUGUCUCUAUUAUAGGUGACAAAAACCCCCAAACUAAUUCCUACUGAAGUCACCCUUUUCUGCCAAAGUGACCUAUUCCUCGCCCCCUCAUGUAGAAGGUGAAACCAAUUUGUUGUGUCUUAUGCAGGGCUAGAAUAUUUGAUUGUUCUGCAGCUUCUCUGCAUUCUUCUCUUUCACCCACUCUUCAGAGGAGUGUGAGAAUCCAGAUAGGUUAAAGCUGACACCUGCCACUGUCCUCAAAUCUUGCUGUGUAUCCUUGCUCUGAUUCUGAAUAUCAGUGCUGGCUUGGCUAAGGCUGAAGUGCUGAUCCUAGUAUUUCUUUGGACUCUACUCAGAGGUUUCCUAUAGCAUGUUGCUGAUUUUCAUGGUUUUUUGGAUCUGAGUAUGUAGCAAGUGAAAAGAGGAAAGCUAUCCUCAUGGUAGUAGGCUGGUAGCACCUUCAUGGUGCCAUGUGUGAGCAUGGGGUAUGCAGAGGGAUCUCACGCUAGAUCUUGUAGGACAAGAAUGGGUGGGAGUGAAUUUCACUCCAGGUCCUCAAAAGGGACCUCUUCAUGACACCAGAAAGCUGUCAUACCUGUGAAUUCAGUUUUACACCCAAGCACAUGGUUCAGCAUCAAAGACAGAAAAGUGGAUAGAACUGGCUUUACAAAAUUCAGUGCUGUUGUUAUAUAAUUUGUGAACUCUAAGUUGAAGAGUUUGUGACUGAAGAGGUGCUGUAGGCAGGGUUCAGUUGUGUAAACAUAGGUACUUGCUGCUGCUUUCCAGGGUCUGUAGUAUCCUGCUUAGCCUCUGACCGUAAGUCUUAUCUGCCAGCUGUGAUUUCAAAUCUUGGGCACUUGAGGAUACCUCAGAGAGUGCCAGGCAUGUAUGUUCAGGUGAGGCGAGGUGUGAACACUAACACCCUGGAACAAAAGGACAAAAAGAUGAGGAGGUUUAGUGCUCCUCUGGGUACCAUCACAGCCACUUGAAGUAGAUGAAUUAUCUUGGCAUAACCUGCAGCUUCUGGAGACAUCAUACUGCCUGGAGCCUCCUACUGUUACCACUAGGGUCUUGCAUUCAAACAACAGAUAAAUGCAAAGCCUCACCCCAAGAAAUCCCUCUUUCUUCUUGGGAAGAAAUCCCUCCUUCUCCUUUCUCCACCCCCAAUCCCACCUCGCUGUGCAGCACUGGCUGUGCACCAAGUCCAAGCAAUAAGCGAUUUGGUCAAAGGCACAGUGUUUACAGGCUCUCAGGAGGCUCAGAGAAAAAAAUCUGUGUAUUAAUUAAUGUAUAGACAGCACAAUAUCUUCAAGGAUUUCUUGCAGCCUUCUCUUAGUGCUUGGGUUUAAUAUUUCUCCAUACAGCAGUCUCCAUAUAUCCUCUGUAGCAUGGUGGAAUCAGUGCCUUGGAGAAUUUUUUUUCAUUCUAGCUGCCAGACAGCUAUAGACCAAUUAAUCUACAAGUAUGCACAUUUGGGGAUGAUAUUCUCCAGUGACUCAGCAAUGUAACAGAUGGCAAAAUAUUUCAUAUUUAUUUCCAUUCCAUUUCUAUAUUGGAAAUGAAUCCAGACAUUUUAUUUUUUUGACAGUCAGACAACAUCUGUUGAGAACACUGUCAGCUGAAUUACAACCUCGCUGGCAGGUAGUUGGGUAGACAGCAUGAAUUACUUUCAGCUAUUCUGUAAGUGUCUUUCUCUACUACAUUAUUUUCAUUAUAAUUGCUGGAUUUAUGGAUGCUGACUGGCUUUACAUUGUAUCUCUGAGAAUUUAAGUUUAGUCAUAUAAAGAUUUGAUGCAUUAAGAUGCUGUGCAUUAAGUUGCGAUAUCAGUGGAUUUAUUCAUACUCAUUCCUUAGCCAAGACCAAUUAAAGGAAGGGAUAUUUUGAAGGGAACCGGCCAAGGGCUUGGAGGAGAUGCACUUCACUGCCAUGGAAGGAACUCAAGUGUGGGAGUGACUUGGAGGAUUUAGUCCCAGGAGCUGGUGUAAUCCAGACAUAUCACAGUCUGAGAUAUCCGAGCUGAGCAAGAAGCUGCCAAGUGCUCUCUCUCCUGGUGCAAGCAGCAUACUAGACUUCUGGCAGUUCCCAAACAAACCUUUCCCUGGGGAAACAGGUGUGGAAGCUGUGGCCUUCCAUGUUGAGAGGAUGAGGAGCCUGAACACUGGAGGAAGCCUGUUCUGGGAGAAGGGAUUUGGUAUUUUUCUGCUAAGAUAGAAGCUCCCCGAGUAUCAGAAUUAGCAGUUUCAUCAGGUUUGUUGCCUAGGUUUGUUAGCUCAAUGCAGUAAGCUCUGUUCCUGCCCGCUGCCAGUCUACCCUACAACAGCAUAGUCAGUUCUGCCUCUGGUCCUAUUCUCUCUUCACAGUACUCUAAGCUUUCUUACGGUUUUUUCUUUUGCUGCUAAGCAAGACACUGUGAUGAUCAGAGACACAUAUGUAUUAAUUUUCUAGAGAACACAUGGCUGUGGACUGGCCAGCUGCUGCCAAACAGAUUGAACAACAGCUGAGUUCUCCUUGCGUUUCCAUCACGCAUUUCAGAUUUUCAGCAAAUAUGUGUGAGUGUCCUCUAAGAAGUCUACUGUCUGCCAAAUGCAAUUAGGGUAAACUGAUGGACAGAUAGAACAGACAGGGGAAGCACAGUUGUGGAAAACUAGGUUAAGAAUCACAGUAAACAAGUGAGUAAUGAGGGAAAUAUUUGCAAAACAUUAGUUUAAUUGCUUGGGUUCUGUGCUAUCCUUUAACUGACUUUAUUCGAUUUCUUUUCUUUAGGACAGGAAUUAGAUAUUCUCUGUUUAUUUGGUACUUAACAUACUUUGAUCACAGCAUAUGUAUGAAGUCAUACCCAUGACAUCCACUCAACCAUACAUAAAUGUGCAUGUAUUUAUACAUAGGUGCACAAAGGUAUACAAACCCAAGGGUGAUCACUGCUGUUAGUUAUUAAAAUGUUUUUGAAGUUUUUUAAAAGUUUGAAAUUUUUUAAAAGUUUAAAGUUUUUUAAACAGGAUUGCUCUAUCAAACUGGAUAAAAGUAGAGCAUACAACUAGAUAAAGUAGAAAACACAGGUUUAGGCAAAGAAAUAUGCAGUUGCCCUAGUGCCUGUCUGUGGGUACCAGUCUGGAAGCCUGGCAGGUGACAGAUUGUAUGUGACAAUAGCAUGAUGAGUUGCUGAGCCUCAGGUGAGGCUUGGUGAGUGCCCCUGUCUGUUCAUGUACCAUGGGACAAGCAAAAGAUAGCAUGGCAUACUGGUGGUUUAUUUUGUGGCAUGAAACUAAGCCACAUGCAUUUGUCAGGAGUUGAGCUUGCUAAUGGAGAUGACUUGUAGGUCUCCUCCCCUCCCCUCUCCUCUCCUCCCACUCCUUCUCUUUUUUUUUUUUUUUUUUUUUUGGCGUCAAAGGAUGGCUUGAGUUUUAUUACUGUCUUAUGAAUCACAUUGAAGUCUGAUGUUGACAAUCUGGCAGAUUUCUUCUUUUAAUUAAUCUGUCUUGAGCUUUAAUAACUAGCAAGGUGUUAUUUAUGUUGAAAGCGUUUCAGAAACAAGGGAUAAUUUUUGGUCUUAAAUUUUAUUCUAAUUGAGCUAUAGUUAGAGUUCUUCACAAGUACUUCUUUUUGCUGUUGUUUAUUAGGUUAUGAAGGUUUUAAGACAAAUGAUGAUUUUCCUUUUAACCAGGAAACAUAGCACUGUUUAAAUUUUGCAAAACAGGGAAGACUGAUCAAGUUCAGAAAUUUGCAUCAUCACCCAACACCUGCUGAAAUGGUCUGUGGGUGAAUCACUUGUUGAUCCAAAAUCACCUGGGGCAAAAUUUUCCUUCAAAGUUAAUCCACAUAUCUUAGGGUGCAGAACCACAUCAUGUCUUUAAUAAAUUAGCAAUUUCUUGUCUGAAAGUUUUGGAGAACUACCUCCAAGAUAACGGAAGCAUAAAAAAUAGCCUUCAUGACACGUUUGUCAGCCCCAUUACAGUGGGCAGGCACGGAGUCCCAGACCUGGUACAGGGACUAUGAGGUGGCUGCUAAAUGGACUCAGUUCCAUAUACACUGUGUCUACAGGUGCAAAUUGAAGUAGGAAUGUUACAUUUUCCAUCUCUAGUAAAAAAGAUGGAAAAUAAAAUAAUUCAAUAUAAAAAACCAGUUAAAAGGCUGUUCUGCUUCCUCUGGAAAUAGGGAGGGGAAAACUAUUAGGAGCCAGGAGUAUUUGGUAGCUGGAAAGAAUGGUGGUGCAGUUAAUGAAACAACCCUACAAGACUGAAAGAGAAAAACAUGCACGGAAAAGCUGCAGAGCAUGAAAUCCAAACUCCAUCAGUCAUGUAGUCUGUUUAAACCAAUGUCUUGUCUUCCACAGGAAAUCAGUAGAGCUGGAGGACUUAGCGCUACCUAGAUAGUGUCAACAAAAGUAGCAAUGAAAAAUAGUGUGGAUCAAGGGGUGACACGUAUAGAUCUUGUAGCUAGGGUUUAGGGAGUUGCUGCAAAAAAGUAUGUCCUUUUAAUUACCCUUCUCACAUCCCUUAGAUAAAAACAACACGGAAGAGUAAUCUCAAGAGGAAUAUAGUUGUCUCAAAAUGUGAAAGAUAUUAAACAAUUCUUCUUCCCAUUGAGACUGUAAAAAGUCUUCUCACUGUAAAGUUUCUGUACCAUCUCCUGUUUCUGUACUUUUGUGAAGAAAGCAGAGGCAAACAGAAGUUUGGGAAUCGUAUGGGAAAGGGCUUCUUUUGUCUGUGAAUCUUUCUGACCAAGGGAAGCUUUCUGAGCCAGGAAGAAUGUAAAAUAUUCCCUUGUUUGAGCUUGACCUUCAUUGUGCCUUUCCCUGACCACUUGUAGGAAGACACUGAUUUUGUCAUAUCAGAACAUGGCUGGAAUACAGUGAUUUUACCAGAAGGUAACCAAAAUAAAAACACUCUGAGGAUGAUGUGUCUGCACUCUAUAGAUAAUUACCUUAUCUUUUUCUUUAUUUUCCUUCCCAUAUUGCUAUGGAGAGAGAGAAAUUCAGUCUGUGAGUGAGUGUACCACACACAAGUUAGGUGUGAGGCAAUGCAAAGCAAAGGCUUUCCAGGCAUCACCAGUGUGGGAUUUCUCAGAUAAGAAGCCAAAAUGUAAACAGAAACAGUUUCACUUACAUUCUUCCAAAACCACUUUAACAUAGUACAUUGUGUGCAAUGUAAAUUAGUAAUGUUGUGAUUUGGAGCAAAACCCCAAUAAGAAGAGUGGCUGAGCAUGGAUAAGGUGGAAGCUGAUGAAGCACUGAGGAAGCUUAAAAAGUUUCUUUUGUCUUGUUGCUGGAAGUCUGGGGAGUCACAUUUGUCAUCUGUACUUCAGGGUUUUUAUAUUGUUAUUCUGUUUUAUUUGAUCUUACAACAAAUUAAUGCAUCCUGUUGAGUGGAGCAGUCUGGGAUCUUGUCUCUUACUGCCUGACCAGUUCAAAUUACCACUGACCUGUCUGAUACUCCUUCUGUAAGCAAUUACAGCAGUACAAAGCAGAUGCAAAGCUCUGAAUCUCCGCAUCUUCCUGCAUGAGAGUGAGGUGAACUCAAGGUUUUUAAGAAAGAUCCUCUCCGCUUCAGCUUCCCCCACAGGCUUCAGCUGACUUUGCGCUUCGGUUGGAGGAAGAAAUAGGAUAUGUGCUGCCUGACUGACAGCGUGGAAACAACCCUGACCUUGCCAACACUUGUACCUGAGCCAGCCUGUGUGCAUGUGAGCCAUCCUUUGGAAAUUGCUGAAAUCUUUUAUUUGUUCAGAGCAGAUACAUGUUUGAAGGUCUGAGCCAAAACGGCAACCUCAGGUGUUGGUCACAUAGCGCAGUACAAGAUGUGUCAUGGGAAGAUGAAGCUAUCAUUUUUGGUGGCAUGCUCAAUGAGAAGCACACCUCAAAAGACAGAACUGAGGGCUUCUGGAGCAAUUUUUAAUAGAGAGCCUGAUCCUGCAUGCUUGCCUUGCCCAGCUCCCUGUGUCAUGGAGAUAAGGCAAGUGGAGAGGAAGAGAAACAAAGUGAGAGCAAACUUCUGAACUGACCCACAGCUGAGUGGGGCUUCAUGCAGUCCUACCAUCCUCGUUGCUGCAGUUAUCUGCCCCCAGAAAUUUAAGAGGCAAGGCUGUGGUUCUGUUUUCUUGCUUCAUCUGGGAGAGAAUGGUAGGCAUGUGAAAAGGCAGCAGCUGAUCCAGAAGAUCCUCUGAAAGCUGUCUGAUGCUGUUCUCCCAUGGGACUGGUGACCGCACCGUGCUCAACACACAUGAUAUGGUUGGUGUGGGUCUGUAAGAGCCAAGGUCUGUAGGGGAUGUGGUCUCUGAGGUCCCUUAAUUACCUCUUGCUCACCUCCAGUGUGAUGAUAUCUCUGUAACACAGGCAGACAGAACUGCCUGAAGUGUGGGGACACAAAUUAGUCUGAGGUAACAACUUACACAAGUUGAGCUCCUUGCAUUAAGCAAAGAAGCUUUAAAUUGCACAGAACUCACAUUAGAGGGUGUUGUCUGCCUCAAGUUUCAGAAAGACAUACCUAUUGAAGUGGUUUUUAACACUUUACAUAUUGAAAUAAUCACCAUAUGUCCUUCAAAAUCCUGUUUCUGUGCCCGAGCUAAUAUUUCUAAGUUAUUUGGGAUUAAGGCUGCUGCUAAUGUUUGAAAGUCAGUAUGUGUAGAUUAGAAUUAGAAAUGCAUGAAAGGUGGAGAUGCUUAGAAUUUCCCUUUCUUUUCCACCUCAAAUGUUCAGGUAUUGUUUCACUAUAAUUAUUUUUCCUCAAUUAUUUAUUGCACCUAACUACAGAGAAUCAAGUUGCAGACAAAGUUAGUUUUCUUUUAAAGAAUGUAUUUGCAUUUGUUCUGUGGUUUUUUUUCACCACAGCUUGAGAUAUCCUUCUCUUACAAGGUGAUGUAAGACUUCUUUCAUGAUGUUUUGGUGUAUUGUUGUGAAAGGAAUUAUCAUGUUGCAAAUUCAAUAACUUGCCUUCAGGAUCAGUUAGCAAGAAAUCAUAGAUCAUAAAGGAGCAAAACCUUGUUAGACUUAAUAUCCUCAAUAACAAAGCAGGAAGGAUAAGAAAAGUUCUAAAAAUUUCAGAGAUUAUGUUUUUAAUCAACCUUUAAAAUUUUGAUCUAAUUGAAACAUGAAUUUCAGAUGAUUAUCCUGCUUUCUGUAACACAGAAUGUUUGUUCAUAAGGUGAAAAUCCACUGCGUGCCAAGAUUCAGGUUAGAAAAUAUUUUUAUGGCUAUCUAAUAAACUCUGAAAAGAGAGGUUUAUAAUGGAAAUGCUGACUGACUCCUUACUCUAACAAGACUGGCGGAUGCUGCUGUAAUGUACUGUGUAAUUUAUAGGAGUCACCUGCUAAGCCAUCUGGGACAGAAAGUUUCCCAACUUCUGAAAUGCUGGUAACUUGAUUAGCCUUAUGAACUUCAUUUUACAAUGAUAUCAAAUGCAGCCUAUGCCAGCCCAUUGUAUUCUUGGGCUGUCGUUUCAUAUUUAUCCAAGAAAGUUGAAAAGAGCCUUUUCAAUUACCCCAAUAUGAGUAGUGGUGGUGGUUAGAAGGGUGAUGCUGGUGCUUUGAUUUAUUGUUUAUAGGUGUCAUAUGGAAUGAGUUCUGGGGUAAAAUAAAAGUUUCUGGUGUUACUAUUCAGCUAGGGAAAGUGUUGGGUUUUUUAAAAGAGACUUGGGGCUUUUAAAAAUUGGCUGCACUAUAUUAGUGCACUGGGCCUUCCACAGACUGGAAAAGUGAACAGAAAGAGAGGUUGAUGGAGAAAGAAGGAUGAUGGACAAUAGUGGGAGGUCAUUUAUAGGCAUCAGUUAGAAAAGCUCUACCUGUCAGUUUAUGGGAAUAGCAAUGUCUUUUGGAAUAGUAAACACUUUGAUUUUCCUUAGAAACCAGUGAGCAGUGAGAAGCAACUUUAGUUCAUCGCUGGUUUAUUAUUUUUUUCUCCAACUGUUUUUUGUCAUCUAUGAUAAUUUUCCUGGGUUCUUUAUUCAGUUUCAUAGUACUUUAAGUGAAGAGGUGUUUGUCAGCAAUACUUUUGACUCAGCUGCUUUGCUAAAAGAGACAUCCAUUUUUGCAGAUAAUGUGAUGAAGCUAAAACAGUGAACUUCAGGUGAUCAUUAAAGAUAUUUUGCAUGGAAAUUAGAGCAAUAUUAGCCUUUUCUGCACAUUGCAAUUGUAGUACUUAACAUUUUGCACUCCUGUUGAAGUGUCCAUGAAUGUAACUUGACAUUUUCACCCCAAUUGUUGCAAGGUGUUGCUCAAUACUCUUAAACAGAUGCUAAAAUCCAGUGAACAUUCAGCUAGCAGUAGUCUUCAGACAGCCUGACAGACAAGCUCUGGCCUUGUAGUAGAGCCAGAUGUUUCUGGGCAGCCAGUUGGAUACUGUGGAGCCGACUCCUAUGGGAAUGAUGAGCAUCCUAAACCCCAGUGCUUUCCACACCAUAUGUAAGAGGCAUGUUGCCCAGCUUUGUCCUCCCUGAAUACAUGUAGGGGGGAUGACACAUUUAUGAAAAAUAAAUCUGAAUGAUAAUUCCAGGGAAAGGAAAACACUCUAUUCCACAGUCAGUUCUCUAGCCUCAGGAAGCAGGUGAAGAACCAACUAAAACAUCCAAACCAAAUAGCAAUCCCAUUGCUUAAUGUGCUACUGGCAAGUGCUCAAAAAUUAUGGUUAUAGGGGUGCAAUGAGAUUAUACAUAUACUGGCAGAAGCUCAUAUUCCCUGGUACCUGCUUUUCAUCUUAAUAUUUAGGUUUUUAUAUAUCUUUCAGAACUCUAGACAUUCUAUCAAGGUAAUAGUAGCAUUACUUUGACUGCUGCUUGAAAAUAUUUGAGAAUUUGGGAGUCAUAGUGGACAUGCAGCUGAGGAUUAGCUUUCAGUGCAAUUUUAUCAAAAAGGAAGUUAGUGCAUAUCAGUAUAGGGAGAUGAUUUCCUCUCUCCAUAUGUUAUUUAUCGGGCUGAAAAAUUGCACUCUUGUGCUGAAAUGCAAAAUGGAGAGAUGGGCCAUUAAUAUGUGAAGAUGUAAAAAGCUUAACCUAAAUACUUCUCUGACUAUUUAAUAACUUAGGUCUUUCAUUCAGUGAAAAUGCAUAGCAUUAAGGAUUUUGACCUCAAGAACAAAGGCAGAACAAAACCCUGGAUGCAGUUUAGCAUUGAACAGAUAGAGCAGAGAAAUGAAACAAAUAUUUAAGUGAUGCUAGAAAAAUAACUGAGCUACCAAGGAAACCACUACCAAGGGAAACACUGCAUCUCCUGAAAACUUCAUACUAAGACUUAUUGGAGAAUGCAUAGUAAGCCAAAAAAUUGUGGGACUCCCUACAAAGGUAGGUGAGUGGAAUUAUAUGGUCAGUGUUGUACUUACUGGUCUUUAGGAUUAGGAGCUGAAAAGAAGAUGAGUUUGAAAGGGAGCUGCAGGGUAGGCUUAAAAGAAGGCAGGGCACAGGCAGCAACUGAUGGUGAUCCUAGCUAUUUUUUUCCUAUUUCUAUCUCUGUCCUUUCGGUGACUGCAUUCAAGGAUGGCAAAAGACUACGUACCAUUACGUAACCACAUGAGUGAAAAGAAUUUUCCUCAAAAGCACUUAGGACACUAAGCAGAUGGCAGCAACCUAAUCCAAUCCAAAGAAGGAAGAAAUGAAAUCAUUCAGGCAGUUACAUUCACUGGGGAAACACUCUGAUUCCCUCAGAUCUAAUGGAAAAAGAAAAUAAAACUUUACUGAAACUGCCACGUAUGUGUAAUUUUGUUACAGCAGAGCAGUCAGUUGUCUCUUGUUUUCUUAAAUUGCUAUUAUUGAAAAAUUUGCUUUAUUUUUUGUUUUUGAUUACCUUUUAAAGCUUUCUUAGCAGUUUCUUGUCAUUGUUCAUAUUAAUUGAACUGAUACUGAACACAGAAAUGCUGUAGUUUUUAGCUAUGUUAGGUCAAAUGAAUUGCAAACUCUGUGUACUUGCUUUGCUGAUGUGUUUUUCCACAAGAGUCAAUAGAAACCAUGGCUGAGCGCUUGCAUCUGCCCACAAAGAAGGACUAGGAAAUGCACUUCACCCAAGCUUCCUCAACAUAAUAUCAGGGAAAAUAGUUGGAAGGAGGAAAGCAGUGGGGAAGGGCUAAUUCAAUCCACAACUGCAUGACAGUCAGGUCCUUCACAGUCUUUUGGCCUGGUUUGGACCUGCAGUAAGUCUAUGAUAGUAGGUGAGCACCUUUGGAAACAUCUCUUUCCCUUUCCUUCCUUCUAAAGUAUGACCUCCCUCAUAUUGUCUCAGAAGAUGCAUUUUUUCAUCCCAGCCAAAGAAGCUUCCACAAUGUCUCUAACAGUUUUAAAUGUACCCAAAAUGCCCACCUUUAAGCUUCUAGGGAAAUUAUGGACAAACAUGUAUUUGCUGAGCUGUAUUACACACCUGUUAUCCUCACUACUGUCCACAGUGACAGGUGCUCCCACUGAUGAGAUAUCUGGAGAUACAAAGCAAAAUACGCAAUAAGAGUGUGAUUACUGCUAAUAGUUUGCUCUCUGAAAAUAAUUUUCCCCUUAAAAUUAAUACUGUUUUAAUUAACCAUUCAGUUAAUGGUAAGGCACAAUUUUAAACUCAAUUAACUUUCCAGGGCACACAUAGUUACUGUCAGGGCACAGGUAUGGCAGGGCAGGAUGCUACAGCCAGGCCUCAUCCUGCCACCCCAUCCAGGAGCAGGGCAGCCCCAGGCAUUGGGGGAAAGAGCAUGUGGGGAGGUCCCAGGAGAAUUGAGUGUUCUUUUUAUUUUGUAAAUUAAUUAAAAGAAAGGAGGUACAGCUAGGAACAAUUACUGAACAGUUUUUGCAAAAAAUGUGUUUUUCACAAUGCAGUACUUUUCUUCCUGUUCCUCACUGAGGAGAACUGGGAUUUAUUUAUUGUGCUGGAUAAAAAUAUUGAACUAAUAGUAGGCAAUUUUGUAUGACUUCAUAUUAUCAUAAAUGAAUUCAUUUUCAAAUCAGAUUCAAUCAAACCUCAGUUUAUAAUAAUAAAAUCCAGAUUUGCAUGUCACUAGGGAUAUGUUCUACCAAAAAUCACAGACUUCAGGAGGUAAUUAAAGUAUAUUCUGUGUACAGUAUGUGAUUUUAAAAUUUUCCUUCUGUACCAUAUAAUCAAUGCUCAGAGAAGGCGUGGGGUUUGGGUGGAACUGGUUGAAUAAUAUUAUUUAAAAAAAAAAAAGACUUCAUUGUAGGUUUUGGCUCAGUCCUCAGAAGGGUUGUUUUAUAAACUACAUGGCAUCCCAGGAGUAACCCUGGGAACAUGGCACUCAAGAAUACCUCAGAAAAAUGUGACUCCGUGUACUUCUAUGCUGCACAGCUGGUUGAUCGUCACCUGCUGUGACCUUUCUCAAAUGUACCAGAGCACACUUGCAUUCUGUGCUUACAGGGACGUGUCCUAUGGUCUGUGCUGCUUACACACUUCAAAUCACUUCACAGCCUAGCAAAUGAUGUGUCUUUGCUGUGCCAUGGUCUCAACUUCCCAUUGGCAUCUUGGGUGCAAUAUGUACCUUUAAAUCCACUUUUACUGUUGUGUGCCUUUGGGAAACAGGGCAUGCCUUAUGUUUUAUUCCCUUGGGAAGGUAGGGGAGAUGCCACAGUCACCCUGGAGAUCCCCUGCACAGGGGAUGAGGCAGGCAGAGCCCAGAUGGUGAGCAAAGGGGUGGGAAUGGGAUGGUUAGAGAUUGGCCUUGCAUCCCAGCAGUGAGGGGAGGGGUGGAACUGCCCAUGAGAGAGCUGUCUUGGGGUGAUUUCUUCACUUAGGGUUCAUUUAGCCUUGGUUCUCUAACCUGAUGCAUCUAGAAAGUGUUUUGUUCCCUCCUAAAAUACAUAUCUAGUGCCAGUGAGAUGAAUUUCCAUCUGGUGAUGGUCUCCUCCUUCCACUCCAAGCCCAGAAAAAUAGGUGGAACCAAGCAACCAACUCACUGACUUAAAAUCAGAGGAGAUGGAGUCCCAUUUGCUGAAACUGAUGUAGAGCCUCAGACAGGGCAGCGUGCCCAGGGACAGAGGUAUCCUUGCUGUUAAAAACCUGUGGUUUAUUUAGUCUCCAGUUUUCUUCUUUUGUCUUGCAUGCAUUAGGUUUUCCUAUAUUGUUGCCAAAUUAAAGUCUUCAAGAAUUUUUUUUCUAGAUGGGCUCUGCAGUGCUGUCAAGGCUGAAAUUCUUGAGUGUCCUUAUCCUCCAAGUGCUGUCAUGGGCUUCCUGAGGGGCUUUACCUGCAAUUCCCACGGGAUGGCCCAGGGCAGCCCAACCUAUCCCUGAUCCCCUUCUGAUCACUGAAGGUCUCCCAAAAAGAGGAUCCCUUUGCAAAAGGAGCUUGUACCUUGAGAUGUACCUGCACAGAGCCAACCCAUGCCCAGCAGCACCUAGAUGUCCCCUGGCACCUUGGGAUAACCUUGUGCUCAUCUUCUGCCACUUUUCAAUUACUUUAAAGUAGGACUGUCUUUAGGUGUUUCAGCCAAUGUGUAAAUUACCAGUUAGUUCUGUCCUAGAGAUUAGAAAAUGCUGCCAGCAACUAGGUUUUCCUAUCAAUCUACAGGCCAUCUACAGAUUACCACCAUAAAAUACGAUUUUCAAGAAUUGUUCUCCUGUAAUUUGGAAGUGUUUAUCAAACAUUUCAACAUUUUCUGUGUCACUUUUUCACAUUUUUUAAUUAAGAAAAGAAUCCGCAGGACAAGAUAUAGAAUUUCCUGUUAAGAAAAUUGGAAUAAAAUAUUUGGUUUUGGGUCUCGGUAAUCUCUACAGUUUCAGUGUCUCUAGGGAUCUCUGGUUUCAUCCUCCCCAGCAGUCCACACUCCCAAACUCACUGUAUCUCCUGUAAAGAGCAGAGGUCAGUCUAUGUCUUGGCUGUCUUAUUCUGCACUCUACUAUUAGCAGAGAUGCUGCUUGCUGAUUUUCUGUUGACAUUCUGAGUUUGUCCUGUCAAUUUGCUUGGCUUUGCAAUGAACAUUUUAACAUUUUAGCAAAUUAAAUCCUCAUUGCCUGACACUUAUUUAUUUUCUAUUUGUUGCUUUCUUGCCUUUCCUAUCUGCUGUUUUUCAUAGUUGAACAAGUAUAAAUAAUUACCACAUUAAAAAAAUCAGAUAUCUCCUAUUGAAUGUUAUUGAGGCUGAAAGGAGACUGCAUCAAUCAAAUUGGUUUUUGCAACUGUUUUCUCAGUUCUGUUCUGUGAAACUUUCUAACAGACUUGAGAAGCAUGGAUAAGACUAGCCACAGCUUUUUUUUUGGAAAAAGAAGUAUCUCCCCAUCUCCCUCAGAUUUUUCCCUGAGGUUCUAUCUAUUUAGUGCUGAGCUUUGUCAGACCAUUUGAUGCUUCUAACACACAAUAGCAGUUACAUUAUAUUAAAUGAUUCAGAGAUACAUUUUGAAGUAAUUAAAUGCAGAGCAGUGACGCAGAAAAUUAGUGAAAUUUAGUGUAAAAUUAUGAUAACCACCAUACUGAGUCUUGAGUGCAGCAGAAGAUGCAAUGGUAGUGGAAAAAAAAGAAAGAUUAUGUAUUAAGUCACAGUCUUGAAAGUCAAAAGACCAAUGUUCAGUCCUAGUGUGACCUUGAGCAACUAACUUCUGUUCCUCCUCUUGCAAACAGGGACGACUGUCUGCUACAAAGAAGGAAAUGUACCAAUUAUUAUAAAUUACUUCUAGAUGCUGUGAUAUAAAAUGCACUGGCACCAGAGUCAGCAGGAUUUUCUUUCCUAGAAAACUCUAGGAAAAAUGAGUAUUUACAUAGUUCAUUUAGUUUGGAAAGCAUCCUUGAGGAUGUUUUCAGUGGUAAAGUCAGAUGCUCCUUAGCUUUUGGCAGAACUUCACAAUCCUUGACUCUAUCCACAUCCUGAGCAAUUCUGUUUAUUCUGUGUUUCAUAUGAAGAACUGUUCAUCCUACGUUCUCUCCAUACCCCUUGCUAUGACUGGGGGUAAUGAUGAGCAGGAUGGAGGACAAAGCUUUUGUUGUGAACCAAGGCAUAAAGCACAGCCUUGGCUGAGGGUGCUGAUGGAGCAGGACUUAUGAGACAAUGCCCUCUGUGAAUUGUCCUCUUGGUCGUGCGCCACAACCUGCCUGCUCCCCCUCACCACCUCUGGCCUCGAUGAAGUGGAUGGGGUUGGGAGAGCUCGUUGCAGGGAUGCAACAGAGAAAAGGGAUUGAAAUCAUGUUGUGUCAAAACUGUGUUUUCAGUGUGCACUAUUGUGUGCAUCCGGUGCAGGCAUAUGCUCAGGGACAGAACUUUGAAUACAGUCAGGAGUCAGCUCUGGGCUGGUCUUCAGAGGAGCCCCAGGAGAGCAGUAUAGAUAACCAUAUAUACAGGUCCACAGCCAUUGUCUGCAAGGCUGGGCAUUCCCUGGGCUUUUCCUGCUGUCUCUUAUCUGGUGAAUUGGCCAUGAGCUCCUUGGAGGAAGGACUACUGCUUAGUUCUGUGUUUGUGUAACGCCUCCUGCAUUGAGGUUCUGGCCCUUGCUGGUUUUUAUACCAUUAUUGUAAUGCAGGUGAAAAUUACACACAUCACUUCAAUCUUGUUUCCACCAAGGCUUUUGAGCCCUCAGGUUACUCCAGAGGGUUUAUGUAUGUGUAAUUCCUAGAGCAGAAGGCUUUGAAUGAUAUAGGGUUAAAGACAAUCUGUUGAUGCCUGAUGGAAAAGAUAGGCUAAAUCAUAUUUCAUUUGCAUGCUGUUACCAAGCAUAAAUAUUUCAAUAAUUUUCAUUGACCUUUUUUUAAGUUCCUAGAUUAAAAAAAUAGAUUUGGGGGGGUUAGUGACAAAAGAGUUAUAUUAGAUGUGUCCUGGGUAAAAGGCAAAUUCCAUUCUUGUAUGCCCAGGCUAGACUCUGGACACAGCAGAAAGAGGAUAGCAAACAAGUCUGCAAAGAAGCUAAUGUUAUAGAUGACUUGGGACAAAAUUUUGGGAAGUUCUUGUUUCUUCCAGACCUAAGAAGCAGAAUCUUCUGAGAUGUGGUAGGGGCCAAGAACAACAGAAAAAACUCUGAUAGCCUGGCUUGGCUGUAGGAGUUGCAGAGGAGCCAGGUUAGGUAUUUGCUGCACCAUCUUCAGGGUAAGUCAGUUACUGGGACAAGAGGUACACUGGAAAGCAGGGGAAAGAGGGAAAAGCUGUGGUGAGAAGAACAAGGUGUUGGUGAUGCAUCACCUGCAGAUGACCAAUUUUUGUAUAGUCCAGGCCAAACCAAGAUGAUUCCUGCUUUGAGCAAGACGUUUGUAAGAAAGUGGCGGUGAAUAGGUGGAAAGGAAUCCUUAUUGAGAUGGCCUGGUCAUCUUGAUUUGUCCGUUCACCAUCAGUAACAUUUUCUGUUCUAGUCUAAUGAAGAGUGUUUGGGAAAUGCAUGAGGUAUCCAGGAACCAGUUAAUUUUGGUUUGUUUCCUGGAGCAGAAGUAUCACUAAGCUAUGUAGUCACUGUUGACAUGGGAGAACCUCAACCUUGCCAAGGCCACCUGACUAUGAGAUUGAGUGCAAUUUUGGGCCUUUGUGUCCAACAAAUCCCUCCUCUUCCAUCCAAAGAGCCCCCCACAUGCAGGGUACAUGCUAUAGCCUUACAGAUGGCUCCAUACUGGCACCGAUGGCCCUACUUGGCCACUAACAGCAAAACAGAGCUAGAGAGAGGGCAGGCAAGAAGACAAAGAGCCAGUGAAAGAGAAGUGCAAUGGGCUGGAAAGACAAUGACAAUGGGAAUGGGAGAAGAGGCUGUAAAUGCUCAAAAAGAUGCAGAAUUAUAGUAAACAGUUUAAAUAUCAUAAAGCUAUUCUGGCAGAAGUGGGAAGAAAAACUUAAAAGUAAGUAAAGGAAGGUUAGAAAGAAAGAUCAUGAGUCAUAAGAAAGCAGAAGAAAGGCCAAUUAGGUUAAAGCCAGAGACUGAGGAAAGAAGGCAUGUUGGGUGUGAGAAGGAAGAAACUCUUGAAUGGCUGGCAGUGGGUCGAGGAGGAGAAGCACACAGGAAGCCCAUGAAUGACCAGAGCAGGGCGGUGAUAUGGGCUGCUGAUGGGAAGGGCGAGAAGGUGCGGCUGUGGGAACUCUGCACCAGGGUUGUCUAUUGCAGGCCCCUUCCCCUGGCAAGAUUCAGUGGGAGCCUGAUACCGCUGGUCAGUGAGGGCACUUGGGAUUUAGCUCUUUAAGUCAUAACAUGCUGAUGUAACACAGCUGUCAAAUUGUGUAAUUUACAUUUAUAUAACCCCUGUUAUUCCAAUCUGGACUAAGAAAAGAUUGCACUGUGCUAAAAUCUUUCCUAGUUGAAACAUGAUGAAAUAUUACCUCACUAACACUGCAUGUACUAAUUAAAGUACACUAAUUAAGUAUCUGAGAGCCCAAAGAUUAAGCUUGCAUGGAUUACCCACUGUAAUCUGGGGGGAGGGCAGUAGGCAUGCAUACAAAAUAUUCAAUCUAGAGUUCCCAAUGGGAACAUUUCCUUCUCCCUCUUUCAAGUUUCUCUUCACCACUUCUUUGAAGCUGCAUUAAGAUAUGUCUACCCAAUUACAAAUUUAACACAAAUGCCACAUAUGCUCUGUAAAAUCCUGUCUAGAAAUCACCAUAUCAUUUUUGCUUGGAUGUUUUUUGUUUGGGACUGUUUCCUGAUUUGUUCCCUAAGCAAGAGCACAUGGGAAAAUAAUGCAGCAUUAGAUUACAAACUGCCAUGGUGCAAGGGCAGCUGGAGUUUUGGGCAGCCUUUGAGUGUCUGCAGCUUUGGGUCUACAACAUCCUCAGCACAGGAAGGCACAAGAGCUCAGUGAUGCACAAUGUUAAGUGACGUGGUCAUGGCUGUACAACCCUUUCCAGGACUGUAUUUACCUUAUUAUUAUCUGCAUGUAAUUUUCUGUUUGUCUUGUUCCAGUGUAUAGAGACCCCAUUAAAGAAUUUGGAGUUCCUUGUUGCUGCAUGCAGUACCAACUUCUAGAGGAAACACAGUCUCUAAAGCAUCUGCUGCAGAAGCCUUACAAUUUGCAUGAUUUAUGUGGCAGAGAGGAGUAAUUUAUUUACUCCUUUCUGGUUCUUUGCUCCCUGCUACCCACUUGUGAAAUGUUUAUCUGAGCUUCUCUCUGCUAGCUAGUACUUCUCUAGUUGAAUUAUUUGAACGUUGAAAACAAAUCCUUUCUUUCACUGGUGGAUUUCCAGUAGUGUUUCUCACAUGUCUUUCCUUAAUUAUUUCUCUUCAUAAGAGGGACUGAGACAUUCUCACUGGGAAAUCUUUAUGAAUUUGUUGGAAGACAAUGUUCUGGCCCCUUUUCACCUAAAAUUGCCAUGAUUUGAUCAUGACAUGGGGGGGCCUGGAAGCUUUAAGCCACGAUUCCCACCUCUCAGCAACAGCCCAGCUGGAGGGUUUUUCAGGGGAAAGUUGGGCCAUAAGCUAGCAGAGGUAAUUGAACCUGACUGCCACAUAGUAGGUGGAACUUAGUCUGCCAGGUGCCAAAUAGAAGGGAAGAGGGUGCUUCUCAUACCUUAUUACCUGCCUUUUGUGAGUGAUUCACUGUGUUGCCUAUACCCUCAUUUAUGUAAAUUGUUUCUAGUUGCUGAGUGCUUCUGUCUUUCCCUUAUGUGCAAAAUGCAAACAUACAGAAUAAUGUCAUGUAUUAACAAAGUCACCAGCACAAGCAGAACCAAGGCCCUUCAUUUCACUCUGGGUUUUUUUUGUACCUGAAAUGCUCUUUCCUCUGUACAUAAUAUAUGUAAAUGCCUUGAGCAGGUUAUGUGUCCAGUCUGUCUCUCUUAGCUCUGGUUUGCAUUGUUUCCACCUCUGUGACCAACUCAGACAGUUCUCAAGGGUCAAAGACCAUAUCUCAAGUGCCACCUGGAAAGUGCUGAAGUUACCUGCUCUUGAGAAGAGGAUGACUCCAUCAUAGUAUACUGUCAUGUUUCCCAUGAAACCCCAGCUCGAUGCCAUGAUGCUUCCCUGAAGGCUGAUGUCUCACCCCCAGAAGGAAGCUUCCCACAGAAGAUUGCAUUUGAUGGAUUUACUCCAGAAAUUUGGCCAAGAUAAAUUUUGAAAGUGAAGUCAUAAUUUACACAUGAAAUUUCAGAUACCUGUGUAGAAGGGUGUAGAAGAUGGGCAUACAGCAUCCAUCAUGCAUACUCAUCUCUUUGAAGGAGCUGCUGAAGCCUGGAGAUGACAUAGAAUCUGGCUCUGCGAGGUAUUAUGUCAAGUAGCUGCACAUGGGAAAAGGUCUGGUAACAUCUCAUGCAUUUCUUUGUUCCUGCAUGGUUCACAUGAGGUCAUGAAAAUUACAGCAAAUGCUUUUCUGUGAAAAAACGAGAUGCUUGUAAUUAGCAUUCAACAGAAUUCAUAAAAUCACUGUAGUAGGGUUUUCUAAUGCCUCCCUAUACUGUGUGCUGGAAUGAAAAAACCCCUAGAUGCUGGAAGUUUCAAUUUGAAUGACAUGCUGAGUCUCCCAUUCUGUCAACAGUAAAAUAUUCUAGACUUUUCCAGACACUGAAUUUUAAACAAUUUAGCAGAACCGAACAGUAUAACAGAUUUAAUCAUAGUGGAUAGAGAGGAAAUAACCACAGAACUAUAUGCCAAAAUUAGACCACAAGAAGGUUAUAACCAGAUUACUAUAUGGAGAUAGAAUAAACUCUAGAACACGUAAGAAAUAGGAAGUCCAAAAGCCUGAUAAUAGAAAUAAAAAACAUAAAUCAGUAAUUGGAGUUGAGGAAUAAAUUGAGCCAAAACCAGUAGGAAAGAUACUUGGAAGCUUAGGAAAAAAAUAGUAUUGGCCACUGAGAUGAGAAAUGGAAGAAGUGUCAAUUAUAAUGGAGAAAAACAGAAGUGUUAGGCAAAUAUAGCAACCACCCUAGUAGCAA